UGUGGAUGCAGGAGGAGAGCUGGCUUUGGCCAGCUUCUGCCUGGGCUGGAAGCUGACCUCGGAUCCAGCUCCUGUUGUCUCUGCAGCCUCAGCUUUCACGAAUGGAAGAUGGGGUUGACGUCUCUGAAUUCCCAGAGGCUGGCUUCAAACUUGUUAUGUAGGUUGUCCGUUGCUAUGGUCCUGGCUGGUCUGGAACUUGGUAUGCAGCCCAAAGGUGACCCUGAGACAGCUCUGCUCCCCCAGUGCUGGGAUCCCAGUGCUUCCACAUCUGUCUGCUAACACUCUAUAUGCUCCGGAGGACAAUCCAGCUGGACAGAUUCCAGUGAUGGAAUGCUGGCUGGUAGCCAUGUGUCUUCAGAGUUGAAUGGGGUCGCCUGGCACCUCCUGGCACCUUACUUACGCUCUCUCCUCACAGGGCUGUAUGCCUGUUCUCACAUACUCCACAACCUUCCUCGUUCUCUAUGAAAUGUUCAGCUUCUGUGAAUUGCUUUUGCAGGUCUUUUGUCCACUUUCCUUUUGUACUGAUUUUUCUGGAACUUUCUAUGUUCCAAAUACAACCUUUCAUUUGUUAUGUACUAAAAAGAUUCUGCUCAA